UGCCAGCCGCCGCGGUAACACGGGGGGCGCAAGCGUUAUUCGGAAUUAUUGGGCGUAAAGGGCGCGCAGGCGGUCUUGUCCGUCAGGUGUGAAAGCCCGGGGCUCAACCUCGGAACGGCAUUCGAAACUGGUUGGCUUGAGGUCGAGAGAGGAAAGUGGAAUACCCAGUGUAGAGGUGAAAUUCGUAGAUAUUGGGUGGAACACCGGUGGCGAAAGCGGCUUUCUGGCUCGAUUCUGACGCUGAGGCGCGAAAGCGUGGGGAGCAAACAGGAUUAGAUA
rnacentral:rRNA from 1 species